rnacentral:ncRNA from 1 species
CAAAGGUUUGGUCCUGACUUUACUAUCAACUCUAACUUGAUUUACACAUGCAAGUAUCCGCCCCCCCGUGAGAAUGCCCAUAGUUCCCUGCUUGGGAACAAGGAGCCGGUAUCAGGCACAACCCUUCAGCCCACGACACCUUGCUUAGCCACACCCUCAAGGGAAUUCAGCAGUGAUAAAUAUUAAGCAAUAAGUGAAAACUUGACUUAGUUAAUGUUUAAAGAGCCGGUAAAACUCGUGCCAGCCACCGCGGUUAUACGAGAGGCCCAAGUUGAUAGACAGCGGCGUAAAGAGUGGUUAAGGUAAACAAAAAACUAAAGCCGAACGCCCUCUAAGCUGUUAUACGCUCUUCGAAGGCAUGAAGUCCCACUACGAAAGUGGCUUUACACCACCUGAAUCCACGAAAGCUGAGAAACAAACUGGGAUUAGAUACCCCACUAUGCUCAGUCCUAAAAAUUGAUAACUCGCUACAUACAAUAUCCGCCUGGGAAUUACGAACACCAGUUUGAAACCCAAAGGACUUGGCGGUGCUUUACAUCCACCUAGAGGAGCCUGUUCUAGAACCGAUACCCCCCGUUCAACCUCACCCUCCCUUGCCCAUGCCGCCUAUAUACCACCGUCGUCAGCUUACCCUGUGAAGGCCUAGUAGUGAGCAAAAUUGGCAUCGCCCUAAACGUCAGGUCGAGGUGUAGCGUAUGAGAGGGAUAGAAAUGGGCUACAUUCCCUAUGCUUAGAGAAUACGAAUGCGUAUAUUGAAAUAUGUCACUGAAGGAGGAUUUAGUAGUAAGUGGAAAACAGAGUGUCUCACUGAAACUGGCCCCAAAGCGCGCACAUACCGCCCGUCACCCUCUCCAGGUCUACAAUUUGUCGUUAAAUUUAAACCCCUAAACCUGCAAAGGAGAGGAAAGUCGUAACAUGGUAAGCGUACCGGAAGGUGUGCUUGGUAUAAC